UUGGUCAUUUAGAGGAAGUAAAAGUCGUAACAAGGKUUCSGUAGGUGAACCUGCGGAAGGAUCAUUACUGAGAGAGGGACUUCGCGUCCCCCCGGGGGGKUUCGGCCCUCCAGCUCUUCAACCCGUGCUUACACACCUCUGKUGCUUUGGCGAGCGCCGGGGCGUCUCACGUCUCGGCCCUGACCCUAGGGUCGGUGCGUUCUCGCCAGAGCCCCCUAAUCAUUCUGUUUGUUCAGUGACGUCCGAGUAUUAUCAAAUAUAAAUCAAAACUUUCAACAACGGAUCUCUUGGUUCUGGCAUCGAUGAAGAACGCAGCGAAAUGCGAUAAGUAAUGUGAAUUGCAGAAUUCAGUGAAUCAUCGAAUCUUUGAACGCACAUUGCGCCCCUUGGUAUUCCGAGGGGCAUGCCUGUUCGAGCGUCAUUGCAACCCUCAAGCAGUGCUUGGUAUUGAGCUUUUCGCCGGAGACGGCGUGCUCGAAAAUUAGUGGCGGUCCMGGGAGACUUCAAGCGCAGUAAAACUUUCCCGCUCGRGUUCUCGCCUGUGGCCAGCCGUUAAACCCCCGACUUUUCAAUGAUUGACCUCGGAUCAGGUAGGGAUACCCGCUGAACUUAAGCAUAU
rnacentral:rRNA from 1 species